rnacentral:tRNA from 1 species
GGAGAUAUAGCUCAGUUGGUUAGAGCGCUGUGUUCACAUCGCAGAGGUCGUGGGUUCGAGCCCCUCUAUCUCUACCA